rnacentral:rRNA from 1 species
CACGUAGGGGGCAAGCGUUGUCCGGAUUUAUUGGGCGUAAAGAGCUCGUAGGCGGCUUAGUAAGUCGGGUGUGAAACCUCCAGGCUCAACCUGGAGACGCCACCCGAUACUGCUGUGGCUAGAGUCCGGUAGGGGAGCGUGGAAUUCCUGGUGUAGCGGUGAAAUGCGCAGAUAUCAGGAGGAACACCGGUGGCGAAGGCGGCAUCCUGGACCAACACUGACGCUGAGGAGCGAAAGCCAGGGGAGCAAACGGG